UACGUAGGGUGCAAGCGUUAAUCGGAAUUACUGGGCGUAAAGCGUGCGCAGGCGGUUCGUUAAGUCAGCUGUGAAAGCCCCGGGCUUAACCUGGGAAUUGCGGUUGAAACUGGCGAACUAGAAUCUGGCAGAGGGGGGUGGAAUUCCACGUGUAGCAGUGAAAUGCGUAGAGAUGUGGAGGAACACCGAUGGCGAAGGCAGCCCCCUGGGCUGAGAUUGACGCUCAGGCACGAAAGCGUGGGGAGCAAACAGG
rnacentral:rRNA from 1 species